GCUCCUCUGAUUUAGCGGCGGACGGGUGCAGUAACACGUGGGUAACCUGCCUGUAAGACGGGGAUAACUUCGGGAAACCGAAGCUAAUACCGGAUAAUAAAGAGAGACUCCUGUUUCUUUUUUGAAAGUCGGUUUCGGCUGACGCUUACAGAUGGGCCCGCGGCGCAUUAGCUAGUUGGUGAGGUAACGGCUCACCAAGGCCACGAUGCGUAGCCGACCUGAGAGGGUGAUCGGCCACACUGGGACUGAGACACGGCCCAGACUCCUACGGGAGGCAGCAGUAGGGAAUCUUCGGCAAUGGACGAAAGUCUGACCGAGCAACGCCGCGUGAGCGAUGAAGGCCUUCGGGUCGUAAAGCUCUGUUGUCAGAGAAGAACAAGUACCGGAGUAACUGCCGGUACCUUGACGGUACCUGACCAGAAAGCCACGGCUAACUACGUGCCAGCAGCCGCGGUAAUACGUAGGUGGCAAGCGUUAUCCGGAAUUAUUGGGCGUAAAGCGCGCGCAGGCGGUUCCUUAAGUCUGAUGUGAAAGCCCACGGCUCAACCGUGGAGGGUCAUUGGAAACUGGGGAACUUGAGUGCAGGAGAGAAAAGUGGAAUUCCACGUGUAGCGGUGAAUGCGUAGAGAUGUGGAGGAACACCAGUGGCGAAGGCGGCUUUUUUGGCCUGUAACUGACGCUGAGGCGCGAAAGCGUGGGGAGCAAAC
rnacentral:rRNA from 1 species